AUAAAGAUUUUAUUUUAUUCUUCUUCAGACUUUAACUGUGAUGCUCUGAUUGUCACGGCUGGGGCAGCAGUCGUAUGAAGGUGAGAAAGGAGGAUCCAGGGGCAGACGAUGGCGGAGGUGCAAGUGGGAUUUAUUAACAGAGAACAAUAACCAAGAUGUGGGCAGAACUAAACAUAAACCUAAACUGGGAAACCUAAUACAAAAGGGAGGGCAUGGAGCAGAGAGACACGGAGAAAUACCAAAUAACAUUAAGUACACGGAAACUUCACAGAGGAACUCAGACGACGCGACGAGGAGCACAGGCAGACACGCAGUAUAAAUACACACACCAGGUAAUUAGGAAAUGGCAAACAGGAGGGGACACAGCUGGAACUGAUGGACAUAACGAGACACAAAUCUACAAAGUAAAACAGGAAACACACAGACUGUUUUACCACACAAGACUCGGGGACCUGAACAGAGCACAGAGGGAAGACACAGACUUUAAACCAGAGCCAGACGUCGUCUACUCCUCACUGAAGUAGUCCACCAGUCCAACCACUGACGUCCAGCUGCUGGUCUCUAACUGGUCCACACAGCCACACAAUAUUGAUUUGCAUACAUUCUGUAGUGUCUUCUCAUUAUAAUAUACACACUCAGUGUUUGUAUGAGUGUAUAUAGUAUAACUAAAAUAUGAAUGUCAUCUGUACAGCGUUGUCCUGCCUUCUCUGCAACAUCAAUAAACUUUGCUGUCACAUGUU